CCUACGGGAGGCAGCAGUGGGGAAUAUUGGGCAAUGGGCGCAAGCCUGACGCAGCAACGCCGCGUGAGUGAAGAAGGCUUUCGGGUCGUAAAGUUCUUUUAAGAGGGAAGAAUAGAAGACGUUACGUCUUGAAUAAGCUACCGCUAACUAAGGGCCAGGAGCCGCGGUAGUACGUAGGCGGCAAACGUUGUCCGGAUUUACUGGGUGUAAAGGUCGCGUAGACGGGCCGGCAAGUCAGCAGUGAAAUCCCUAGGCUCAACGUUGGAACUGCAUUGGAAACUGGCGGUCUUGAGUGUCGGAGAGGCAGGCGGAAUUCCUAGUGUAGCGGUGAAAUGCGUAGAUAUUAGGAGGAACACCAGUGGCGAAGGCGGCUUGCUGGACGACAACUGACGGUGAGGCGCGAAAGCGUGGGGAGCAAACAGGAUUAGAUACCCGGGUAGUC
rnacentral:rRNA from 1 species